rnacentral:rRNA from 1 species
CGAAUGCUGACAUAAGUAACGAUAAAGCGGGUGAAAAGCCCGCUCGCCGGAAGACCAAGGGUUCCUGUCCAACGUUAAUCGGGGCAGGGUGAGUCGACCCCUAAGGCGAGGCCGAAAGGCGUAGUCGAUGGGAAACAGGUUAAUAUUCCUGUACUUGGUGUUACUGCGAAGGGGGGACGGAGAAGGCUAUGUUGGCCGGGCGACGGUUGUCCCGGUUUAAGCGUGUAGGCUGGUUUUCCAGGCAAAUCCGGAAAAUCAAGGCUGAGGCGUGAUGACGAGGCACUACGGUGCUGAAGCAACAAAUGCCCUGCUUCCAGGAAAAGCCUCUAAGCAUCAGGUAACAUCAAAUCGUACCCCAAACCGACACAGGUGGUCAGGUAGAGAAUACCAAGGCGCUUGAGAGAACUCGGGUGAAGGAACUAGGCAAAAUGGUGCCGUAACUUCGGGAGAAGGCACGCUGAUAUGUAGGUGAAGUCCCUCGCGGAUGGAGCUGAAAUCAGUCGAAGAUACCAGCUGGCUGCAACUGUUUAUUAAAAACACAGCACUGUGCAAACACGAAAGUGGACGUAUACGGUGUGACGCCUGCCCGGUGCCGGAAGGU